rnacentral:rRNA from 1 species
AUGUCGACGACGCCUCGAGGCCGGUCGUCGUCCCGCCGCCGCACGGGGUGUUGCAAGUGCGCUGGCGGCGGCGGCGGGGGCAAGCCCUCCACGCCGUGCUGCUUCAACCCGCUGAGGUCCCUAUUCCGGUGCCCCGGCCGGGGCCGUGGACGCAGCCGCAGCCGCAGCCACAGUCACAGCCGGAACCGGACGGCGCCGUCCAGGGUAUCGGCGGACAUCGGCACCGAGCAGCAAGGCCAGGAGCCGUCAUUCUUCGUCUAUUCCAUGGGCAGCGCCGCGGAGAACAAGAAGAAGAAGCACAGGAAGGCGCGGCUCCCAUCCAUCCGCUCCUGCUUCCGCAGCAAGAAGAAGGAGCGGAAGGCCAGCGCCCGCCGCCAACCCCUCACGCCGGCGCCGUCGAUGGUGACGCACCCGCCGCGCUCCCCGCCUGCGCCGGAGAACACGCCCGCCGUGGCAUCCGGCGUGACGUCGACACAACCGCCUUCGCCUGCGUUUACCGAGACCGGCAACGUUAAUUCGCCGGCGACGUCCGACCGGAGAACUGCGCCGACGGGCCCGGGCAAGCAGCCGUCGACGGACUCGGCGUGGGCACCGUUCCCGCCGCAGAGGCAGCAGCCGAAGCAGCAGGUCGACGGGCUGCAGAUCGUCGAGGUGGCGACGGGCGAGCGGCUGUCCGCGCACGAAGCUGCGCUCAUCGAGAUGGUUGAGAGCUCGACCGACGACUCCGCGGAGUCGUCGAUGAAGUCGUCGCUGGAGUUCAUCAACGAACCGUCGCCUCAGACACCGGUGAAACGGGUGGUGGCGGAUAGGGAGACGGCGGUGGUGAAGGCCGCGGCCAGGGAGGCACCAAGGCUAUGGCUUAACGGCAAUGCCGCCAAGGCCGGGGCAGGCGCGCGGUUCUCCGAGCCUCUUGUGGUGGCGGAGGCCAAUGAGCUGUGGGCGCACGACAUCGCUUGCAGCCGCGCCCACGCUGCCAUGCUCGCUGACACGGGUUUGAUAACCACCGGUGAUAGGGAUAUUAUCUUGGAGGGCCUUGAUCAAAUUGAGAAGCAGAUUCAAGAUGGCAAGUUUGAGUGGAGAAAGGAUAGGGAGGACGUGCACAUGAACAUUGAGGCAGCUCUGAUUGAGAAAGUUGGUGAGCCGGCCAAGAAGUUACACACUGCUAGGAGCCGCAACGACCAAAUUGUGACAGAUCUUAGGUUGUGGUGCCGCGAUGCUAUUGACAAGAUUUUGAUUCGCAUCAAACAGUUUCAGGUGUCUCUGGUUUUGUUAGCUUCAAAAUAUGUUGACUUAAUUGUCCCCGGUUAUACCCAUCUUCAAAGGGCACAACCUGUCUUGCUUCCACAUCUUCUCUUAUCCUAUGUUGAACAGUUGGAGCGUGAUGCUGGCCGGCUGAUCGACUGCAGGGAAAGAGUGAAUUUCUGCCCUCUUGGUGCUUGUGCUUUGGCUGGAACUGGACUCCCCAUUGAUAGGUUCAAAACUGCUAAAGAUUUGAAGUUUACAGCUCCGAUGAAGAACAGCAUUGAUGCAGUGUCAGAUCGUGACUUUGUUUUGGAGUUUCUUGCUGCCAACUCUAUUGCUGCUAUUCAUCUUUCCCGCAUUGGCGAAGAGUGGGUCUUGUGGGCGUCAGAGGAGUUCGGGUUCUUGACACCAAGUGACUUGGUUUCAACUGGAAGCAGCAUUAUGCCACAGAAGAAAAAUCCGGAUCCGAUGGAGCUUGUUCGUGGGAAAUCUGCUAGGGUUGUUGGUGAUCUCAUGACUGUUCUAGUCCUCUGCAAAGGCCUUCCACAGGCCUACAACCGUGACCUACAGGAAGACAAGGAACCCUUAUUUGACAGUGUGAAGGCCAUACUAGGAAUGCUUGAAGUAUGCAGUGAGUUUGCUCAAAAUAUCUCUUUUAACUCGAAAAGAAUACAAAGUUCGCUGCCUGCUGGUUAUCUGGAUGCAACAACACUGGCAGAUUAUCUUGUGAAGAAGGGCGUUCCAUUCAGAACUUCUCAUGAGAUAGUUGGAAGGUGCGUGGCUUUAUGCGUGUCGAAGAACUGCCAGCUCACAGAGCUUGAAAUGGACGACUUGAAAGCAGUCCACCCUGUCUUCGAGGCCGAUGUCUACGCCUACUUGGGUGUCGAAAACGCGGUCAACAAGUUCAUAUCCUAUGGUUCUACAGGCUCAGAGCAAGUAAAAAAACAGCUUGAAGAUUGGCGCGUUCAGCUUGGGAUCAACCCAUAA